rnacentral:rRNA from 1 species
GUGCCAGCCGCCGCGGUAACACCGGCAGCCCGAGUGAUGGCCGAUAUUAUUGGGCCUAAAGCGUCCGUAGCUGGCCGCACAAGUCCGUCGGGAAAUCCACUCGCUUAACGAGUGGGCGUCCGGCGGAAACUGUGCGGCUUGGGACCGGAAGAUCCGAGGGGUACGUCCGGGGUAGGAGUGAAAUCCCGUAAUCCUGGACGGACCACCGAUGGCGAAAGCACCUCGGAAGGACGGAUCCGACAGUGAGGGACGAAAGCUAGGGUCUCGAACCGGAUUAGAUACCCCAGUAGUCC